CGUUUCAUUUUUUUUUGUUUAUUUCUCGUGUUUAUUCGUGAAUUUUUUCAAUUUUGGAAGAAACGUUCAACGUAACGAGGAUAUUGUUCGAAAAUUUGUUGUAGAAAUAAUGGAAAUUUGAAGUAAAUGGAGGGAGAAGGAUUUGGAUAAAAGAUUCAAGAAGAAGAAGAAGAAGAAGAAGAAAUGAAGAUAUUCGUAAUUCGUCUCGCCACUUGAACAAAAGCAAUUUAACGGUCUAAGCACGUACAAUGGAAUUUUUAAUUUAACGGAGAUUCGCAUAAGUGUAGGAGAGGAUGCCGAACGAUCGCCAAGUAACAUUAUUACUUACACGUACAUAUGUAAUUGGUAUCCGGUUAGAAGAGUAUUUCUGCAUUAGUUAUAACGAGUAGCCAACUAAUGCCAAGCGUGGCACGCAUUCACGAAGCACAAAGCAGACAGGUAAAGCUGCCGCGCGUUUGUUUCAACCACUGUAUUGCGGUCGGUUGGUAUCCGCUCACUUCGACCUUUAAAACUUUGCAUCGGUAAGACAUCAAAGGCCUCUGUUACACUCGUUGCUAUUGACACUGUGUACCCGUUUUCCCGCUGUAUAAAGGUGAAAUUGUGUAAUUGCAUUCUUCGCGAAAACAAGAGUUUCGUGAAGAAACGAGGUAAAUUAACUUAGCCAGUGUUUAAACGCUUUUAACGUGCUUUUAUUGGCUUCGUAGAAAUUUCAUUCAAACAAACACCGUUUCUCAAUUGUUUCUGAAUACAAGGAUCCUUGUUUCUUAAAAAUGAUUCCAAUAUUAUGUUAGACAGACAAAUCAGGAUCACAAGAAGAAUACG